rnacentral:misc_RNA from 1 species
CGAGCGAGUGACAGGUCUGUCUCGAGCGCAAGACGGCCGUAACCAGCCGUAACAACUGGCCGUGUGUAAUAGGGAGAGCGGAAUAAAAACUUAAUUUCUCGAUGCCUAGAACCGUAGUGAGUCAUCGUGAAAGUGUGAGAUCAUCGUAGAGCGACAACUGCGAGGAAAACCAUAGACAUCAUGGAAGUACUGGAUCCGAGCGUCUCUAGGGACGAUCAGCCCCUCUGUAUCAACGAUUCUCUCGAACAAGCUAACAAAUCGCAGUUUCCAGCAGACACUAAAUCAUGCAUAAAAGCACGCCAUACAUUGGGUUUCCUUGGUUUUCUCGGCUUUGCUCUUGUAUAUGCUAUGAGGGUCAAUUUAUCAGUAGCCAUUGUCUCUAUGGUUAAUCAGACAGCGAUACCACAUACUGAUGACAAUGAUACUAGCGAUGUUUGUCCUAAAACCAAGCCAAUAAAUGGGACUUUUAUACCGAGCGCAGGAGAAUUUGCUUGGGAUGAGAAGACACAAGGUAUUAUAUUAGGAGCAUUCUUCCUUGGAUAUGUCAUUACAAACGUUCCCGGUGGCAGGAUGGCUGAAAAAAUGGGAGGCAAAUUAAUUUACGGUCUGGGAGUAUUUCUGACUGCUGUUCUGACUGUGAUAAGCCCUUUUGCCGCAUACUGGGGUUUGGUACCAUUCUUAGUUGUACGAGUUGCAGAGGGAUUUACCGAGGGAGUAACAUUUCCCGCAAUGCAUAGUAUGUUAGCACAUUGGGUACCUCCGCUAGAAAGAAGUAAAUUUGCUGCUAUAGUCUACGCAGGUUCGAAUUUCGGAACUGUUAUUUCAUUACCGGUGAGCGGCUGGUUAUGCUCCUUAGAAUUAUGGGGUGGUUGGCCUCUUGCAUUUUAUUUAUUUGGAGGACUCGGUCUGAUGUGGUAUGCGUUCUGGUUGAUAUUCAUAUACGAUACUCCUGCGCAACAUGCGAGAAUUGAUCCUUCUGAAAAGGCGUAUAUUGAAGCUAGCGUUGAGAAAAAAGACGAGGAUGAUGAUCUGGGAGUACCAUGGUUCUCUGUCUUCACCUCUCUGCCUAUAUGGGCCAUUACUAUUACGCAGUGCGGGCAAUCCUGGGCCUUUUACACUCUCUUGACCGAGCUGCCGACUUAUAUGGACAAAAUUUUGCAUUUGAAUGUACAACAGAACGCAUUUCUUUCGGCGUUGCCUUACUUGAGCGCCUGGUUAGUAGGACUCGGCAUCUCGAGCUUCGCAGACGCUCUUCUCGCUCGUCGAAUGAUCUCGCCUUUGGCUUCAUUUAAAUUAUGGAACACGGUGGCCUCAUUGGGGCCCAGUCUCAGUUUUUUGGGUGCUAUCUGGGCUGGAUGUGACCGCAUGACGGUGAUGCUGAUGCUUGCCGGACCGGGCUCUCUUCAGGGCGCGGUGUACGCCGGAAAUCAGAUGAAUCAUAUCGCGUUGGCGCCACGUUACGCGGGUACCUUGUACGGAUUGACAAAUGCAGCAUCAAAUGCAUGCGGUUUCUUGGCGCCAUACGUUAUUGGCAGUAUAGUACAAGGACAUGAAACUCUUGCACGUUGGCAUAUGGUUUUCUGGAUGGCAGCGGGAAUAAAUAUGGCUACUAAUUGUUUCUACUUGAUGUUUGCAUCUGCCACUGAACAGCCGUGGAGUAAAGGCGGAAGUUGAUGACAAGGUCGCAUUAGAGGUGCAAUAUUAAAUGUGGAUAAUAAUGUAUUGUUUAAUCAUGUUGCACACAGUACAUUUUAAUUUGGCUAAUUCUAUAAUUCAGUUAUUAAUUGUGAGGCAAUGUAUAGAAUGAUAAAUGAUGAUUGAGUCUCGAUAUUAUCGAUUGAUUCCGACAAAUGACGUAGAUAAGUGUGCUCUGUGACAGACGAUUGGGAUUGAUUUACAUAUAUAUUCCUCCCCCAUUUUGUUUCGCCACUUUAUCGAUACAAUCACAGUACAUGUUGGAUACAUGUGAAAAUAUCUGCAAUCCCAUGAAGAGAAAUUAAAUAGAUAUAAAUUAUUAACAUUUACACGACGUGCGCUUUAGGAGAUACCGCGAUCGAUGGUGUAGCCAAGAAGAAGAUGAUUCUAUAAAUAUGUGCAAAAAUAAGCAUGGUCGAAAAUGUAGAACAAAAUUAUCAAUUUAUAAAUUUAUCCGUUUAGUUUUGCACAUAGAAUUAUUUUUAUCGGCUGUACCAUCAGUUACGAAACAUCGAUGGACGCAGAUAGAGAAAGCAUUUAAUUUUAAAAAUAUAUGCAAGUUAUGUAUAUGUGAUAACUUGCUGAAAAGCAAUGGAAAGAAUUAUAUUUUUUUAUUUGUAAUAUUUAAAAAAAAGAUCUUUGUUGUUACCUCUAAAUAUUUUAAGAUCGAAUUACUUUAAAAUUGAGAAGGUAUUAUUUAUUUAUAAUACCAAAGUAUAAGAGAAGCUACUAUAUUAAUAUAAGUGAAAUUUAUCUAUCCAGUCUUAAUAUAUCAUUGACAUAUAUAUUUCUAAUAGUAAAAGGAAUGCAUAAUAAUAUGUGCGAUAUAAACAAAUAAAUGACUUGGUCGUUGAACAGAGAAGAUUAAUUACAUAUGUAAUUCUUCAUAUAUCAAAUUUUGUUCUAAGUACCAAAAAUGAGAUAAAUAGAAAUCAUUAGCGAUUGUAUCUAGCAUGACGAAAAAGUAAUCGUAUGAAAUAAUAUAUUAUGUAUAUUAUACAAUACAUCUUCAAUCUACCUAACAAUCUUUCUAAAAAUAUACGAAAAUUUGUUUAAUGGUA